rnacentral:rRNA from 1 species
UACGGACGGGGCAAGCGUUGUCCGGAAUUAUUGGGCGUAAAGAGCUUGUAGGCGGUUUGUCGCGUCUGCUGUGAAAUUUCGGGGCUCAACCCCGAACUUGCAGUGGGUACGGGCAGACUAGAGUGUGGUAGGGGAGACUGGAAUUCCUGGUGUAGCGGUGAAAUGCGCAGAUAUCAGGAGGAACACCGGUGGCGAAGGCGGCAUCCUGGGUUGCACCUGACGCUGAGUUGCGAAAGUGUGGGGAGCAAACGGG